rnacentral:rRNA from 1 species
ACCACAAGAACGCGUGGAGCAUGUGGCUUAAUUUGACUCAACGCGGGAAAUCUUACCGGGUCCGGACACACUGAGGAUUGACAGGCAAUAUAUGUGACUCUUCGGAGUUUGCAUUGUUAAAUAUGCUAGUCCUUUCAUGAUUAUGUGAUAGGUGGUGCAUGGCCGUUCUUAGUUCGUGGAGUGAUCUGUCUGCUUAAUUGCGUUUCAAAUUACUUAUAAGGUAGCAAUACGCGAUGAAACUUUCAAUAGUCC